AUUGAACGCUGGCGGCAUGCUUUACACAUGCAAGUCGAACGGUAGCAGGCCUUCGGGUGCUGACGAGUGGCGAACGGGUGAGUAAUGCAUCGGAACGUACCCAGAGGUGGGGGAUAACGCAGCGAAAGCUGUGCUAAUACCGCAUGUGAUCUGAGGAUGAAAGCGGGGGACCGAGCAGCAAUGUUUGGCCUCGCGCCUUUGGAGCGGCCGAUGUCGGAUUAGCUAGUUGGUGGGGUAAGGGCCUACCAAGGCGACGAUCCGUAGCUGGUCUGAGAGGACGACCAGCCACACUGGGACUGAGACACGGCCCAGACUCCUACGGGAGGCAGCAAUGGGGAAUUUUGGACAAUGGGCGCAAGCCUGAUCCAGCAAUGCCGCGUGCGGGAAGAAGGCCUUCGGGUUGUAAACCGCUUUUGGCAGGAACGAAACGGUGUCCGCUAAUACCGGGCGCUAAUGACGGUACCUGCAGAAUAAGCACCGGCUAACUACGUG
rnacentral:rRNA from 1 species